rnacentral:rRNA from 1 species
UGACGGAGCACGCCGCGUGAGGGAUGAAGGCCUCUGGGCUGUAAACCUCUUUUAUCAAGGAAGAAGACCUGACGGUACUUGAUGAAUAAGCCACGGCUAAUUCCGUGCCAGCAGCCGCGGUAAUACGGGAGUGGCAAGCGUUAUCCGGAAUUAUUGGGCGUAAAGCGUCCGCAGGCGGCCCAACAAGUCUGCUGUUAAAAAGUGGAGCUUAACUCCAUCAUGGCAGUGGAAACUGUUGGGCUCGAGUGUGGUAGGGGCAGAGGGAAUUCCCGGUGUAGCGGUGAAAUGCGUAGAUAUCGGGAAGAACACCAGUGGCGAAGGCGCUCUGCUGGGCCAUCACUGACGCUCAUGGACGAAAGCCAGGGGAGCGAAAGGGAUUAGAUACCCCUGUAGUCCUGGCCGUAAACGAUGAACACUAGGUGUCGGGGGAAUCGACCCCUCCGGUGUCGUAGCCAACGCGUUAAGUGUUCCGCCUGGGGAGUACGCACGCAAGUGUGAAACUCAAAGAAUUUUGACGGGAAGAACUCAAAUGAAUUUGACGGG